GAUGAACGCUGGCGGCGUGCCUAAUACAUGCAAGUCGAGCGAACGGACGCGAAGCUUGCUUCUCUGAUGUUAGCGGCGGACGGGUGAGUCACACGUGGAUCCCCUACCUAUAAGACUGGGAUCACUUCGGGAAACCGGAGCUAAUACCGGAUAAUAUUCUGAACCGCAUGGUUCAAUAGUGAAAGACGGUCUUGCUGUCACUUAUAGAUGGAUCUGGGCUGCAUUAGCUAGUUGGUAAGGUAACGGCUUACCAAGGCUACGAUGCAUAGCCGACCUGAGAGGGGGGUCGGCCGCACGAGAACGGGGACACGGUCCAGAGUCCUACGGGAGGCAGCAGUAGGGAAUCUGCCGCAGAGGGCGAAAGCCUGACGGAGCAACGCCGCGUGAGAGAUGAAGGCCUUCGGAUCGUAAAGCUCUGUUAUGAGGGGAGAACAGAUGUGGAAGUAACUGUGCACAGCGUGACGGUACCUAAUCAGAAAGCAACGGCUAACUACGUG
rnacentral:rRNA from 1 species